UGGGGAAUAUUGCACAAUGGGCGCAAGCCUGAUGCAGCCAUGCCGCGUGUGUGAAGAAGGCCUUCGGGUUGUAAAGCACUUUCAGCGAGGAGGAAGGUGGUGAGCUUAAUACGCUCAUCAAUUGACGUUACUCGCAGAAGGAGCACCGGCUAACUCCGUGCCAGCAGCCGCGGUAAUACGGAGGGUGCAAGCGUUAAUCGGAAUUACUGGGCGUAAAGCGCACGCAGGCGGUUUGUUAAGUCAGAUGUGAAAUCCCCGGGCUCAACCUGGGAACUGCAUUUGAAACUGGCAAGCUAGAGUCUCGUAGAGGGGGGUAGAAUUCCAGGUGUAGCGGUGAAAUGCGUAGAGAUCUGGAGGAAUACCGGUGGCGAAGGCGGCCCCCUGGACGAAGACUGACGCUCGAGGUGCGAAAGCGUGGGGCAGCAAACAGGAUUAGAUACCCUGGUAGUCCACGCUGUAAACGAUGUCGAUUUUGGAGGUUGUGCCCUUGAGGCGUGGCUUCCGGAGCUAACGCGUUAAAUCGACCGCCUGGGGAGUACGGCCGCAAGGUUAAAACUCAAAUGAAUUG
rnacentral:rRNA from 1 species